GAUUUAUUAAUUUUAUUAGAGGGUAUAGCACUGAAUAUCUAAUAAAAUAUUAGAAGGGAGUAUGAGAAUACUUACUUUAGAUAUUUAAUCUCAGAAUAACUAAUAAAUGAAAUAAGUUAUCAGACUUUUUGCGAUAAGGUGA
rnacentral:rRNA from 1 species